GGGUUCCACUUGACUCUGCAUUCUCCUACUUCCCUGCCUGGUUACUCUCUGCCAUCAUAGUUUUUUGCUUCAACCUUCAAAUGUAGCCAUUCUUUUUCUAAAGGGGUACUUAUUCUCUUUAUUAGUUAAAAUUAUUAAUUUUAUGCACUUACUGUUCUAGCUCCAAUUUUGCAUUUCCAGUUCCCUGCUGGGAAUAAAUUAAAUUGGCAGAAGCUCAGCCUAAGUGCCUGCAACAGAAUUUGUCCCAUAUCCAUACAACUUGCUCCUCCACAACAAAUGGGAGAAUCAUCCUCUUACCUCCAGGCUGUGAUGGAGGAGAAGCUAUCCCUCAGCACAGGAUUUUGGUAGAAUAAGAAUAAAAAUGACAAGUCUCUUCCUGAAAAGUUCUUCAUUGUCUCUUGAAAACGGUCUGUGAAAGUGCCAAACCACCAGCUCUCCAGAUGUGGCUGAAUAUCAAGGUAAAUUUAAUUUAGACUUAGCUUGGGAUCCCCGUCAUAACAAAUCGGAUAAAGCGCAUGCGCGCACACACACACACACACACACACACUCAGACAUGUAAAACCCAUCCUAGACAGUUCAAACAAGGUUUGAGUACCACUUUCCACGUAUCGGGCUUACAAGGUGCCAAGAACAUAGAGUUCCUGACCUUGAGGAGCCUGC
rnacentral:antisense_RNA from 1 species